CUACACCCACCCUCGUGCUCUGGGUUGCUCAGAAAUUCCAAGAAAUUCCAAGUUUCCUGCUGCCUCACUGGCUGGAACAGAAUGGAAUGUGCACCACCGCUGAUAACAACAGGAGAGGCCCCAAACCACAGAGGCAGGCAGCCCCGGGGUAAAUCCUUGCUCCACCGCUUCACGCUGAAAGAUAUUGUACGAGUUACUUAGCUUUCGUCAUAGGUCGGAUUUCCUGGGAAAGAGAGUCUAGGUCUCUGAGGGUUGUGUGGAGGAGGCUAACUGGGGAGUGAGCUCAGAAACAACGACAACAUGGGGAGGGAUGCUAGACUGGGCAGAGGGAGAAGCUGUACCAUGAUGCAGUUUCAAUGGAGAUGUCCAGCAAUCCCACAGGGAGCUGGGAUGGCCCUUCAGAGUUGUCCCAGCUGAGGACAAAUGGUUAGGCUUUUGUACUUCCAUGUUGGCCGGUCAUAGAUGCAGGCUGCCUUCUGAGAAAUGGUCUGGGAUGAAAGCUCUCUUUGACUGAGUCUUGCAGCAGCAGCUAGAGGUCCUGGUAGUAGGCGGGAUGAGUGCCUACAUCCUGAGGUGUAUCUGGGCAGCCCACCGUACCUGUGCCUACAUGUUCAAUAUAUCAGAGAUCAAGGAAGUCUCCUUGGCCACUCUACCUGAAAUUGCAACCCCUUAAUCUCAUAUCCCCUGUACCCCAUCUUACUUUUAUCCAUCGUAUUUAUCAUGAACUAACAUACAUUUUUUUAAAGAUUUUUUUGAUUGGACCAUUUUUAAAGUCUUUAUUGAAUUUAUUACAAUAUUGCUUCUGUUUUAUGUUUUGGUGUUUUUGGUCACGAGGCAUGUGGGAUCUUAGCUCCCCGACCAGGGAUCAAACCCGAACUCCCUGCACUGGAAGGUGAAGUCUUAACCACUGGACUGCCAGAAGUUAAUCCCGAAGCAUUUCUGCCCUCCACAUUUAUUGAAAGUCACUUGGAACAUUGGUUCAGAAGUACUCUACGUGGCUCUCAUUCCUGGACCCAGGCUGAAGCAGCAGCAGACACUUGGACAUCCACUUCUCACGGAGAAUACAGGAGUGGGAGAGAUAGAUUAGAAAUACACAAAGCUUGAAACUGACCUCCUAUCGUUUCCCACCUGCAGCCCACUGGCCAAAGAUUCUUGGAAAGUGGAAUUACUCUUCUCAUCAAAUAUUCUGUACUACUCUAUGAUCCAAAGAAAUGCCCAGAUUCUUCUAGAACGGGCCCACUAGUGAUGCCUGGAUUGAAUUAAAGCAGCUGAUUCUCAAGCCAAGUGGCCAGAAUUUGGACAACUCUACUGGCUCAUCCUCUGUGCUGUAUGGAAGAAACCAAGAUAAUGAUACUUUCCCAAGGCUGGGACUGGGCUACAAAACAAUAAGGGACCUGGUAAAAGAGCCUCUGGAAGUAUGCAAACGUCAAUAAAUUAGCAGCUAAUGCGCUACCGAACACCCAAGUUGGUUCUCAGGAAAUACCAUUGUACCCAGUGACACGGUCAACUUGCACCAUUACCUCCUCAAGCCCAACCCUAUAUCUGAAUUCUGGGGAGGAGACAGAACUUAAGGCUAAAGUGGGAUCACAGGCAAGUGGGAUCCUUGAGAUUCUUCACAAUUUAAAGCCUGGUGCAGACACAGAUGAGCCAUUAACCUGGGGAGCCCCAUGUUGAAGAUGAUGGAGCCAUGAGAUGGAGGAACCUGUUUCCUGGAAUCAGGAAGAGGACCACGGCUGAUCGAUGUCACCCAUUUUGGCUUUUACAUUUGUGAAGUUUUCUACUGUUUGGGACAAUACACAUUUUUGAAAUCUGUUUAUAAUAGCAGAUAAUGAUACUUUAAUGAAUAUUAUCACUUAUUAAUAAAAGGAAGAUCAAAACCUAAAUUUCAAUUAACUCAUGUUUUUGAUGAGUUGAUUUCCAGGGGAUUAAAAUUUUCUUACAAUCA